AUUUGCUCAAUUUUAUAUUAUUACUUUUUGCAUAUGCUGGAAGAUUGAUAUAUUACUUGGGAAAAAUUCGCCUUUCUCUCUCCCCUGUCUUGCCGACUUUUGUUAUUAUUUCUUUCAGUCUUCCCUGCUUGGACAUUUAUAGACUUGGUUUUCAAAUCUUUGUGAGAGCUUUGUAUUUCAAUUAUCUCUGAUAGAAUUAGUGACCGCCUUACUCAAACUCAAACUCAAACCCAAAGUGAUAUACAUGGCUUCAAAUUCUAUUUCUCUAUCGCCACCUCACUCUCGACUCUUCUCUCCUCUAAUCUGAAACACAAUUCCCUUAUUUCCCAGAUUUGGUUAACUCCGAUCAACCUUUCCCACUUCUUGUACAAGUUAAUUGUUAAGUGGCUUCAAUAUUCAAGUAAAUAGUUGCUCAUUUUGUAAUUGUGUCGCCUAUUCUAAUAGGGCACAAUAGCAAUAAAGGUGAAAAUGGCACAAAAGGAGGCUCAAGGAGUAGCUGAGAAGAAAGGAAGACGAUGACUUGGCAGUGGCAGUGUUGUUGGUUCCAGCUGUACUGCUGGUUGUAUAUGGAAAGAUACAUAUGUUAGAGUUUAUACAACUCGCAUCGACAUUAAUUUUUUGGAGGAAUUGUGAUUGCUUUGGUUAGAGAGUGGCUUCUAACUGUUGUCUUUGUAUCCUCUGUUCCACUCUUGGCUGGUGACACUAUCCAUUGUCAUGUUUAUGCUAAAGUAGUUUAUCAAACAAUCAGUUCAAUAAGAGUUAUAUGUAUAUGUGUUAAUAAUAUUUGACUUUCACUUCCUAAGAGUUAAAUUUAUUGUGUCUGUGCUUUUUUUUAUCAGUAUUUCAAAUUAGAAUGGCAAAAUUGUGGCUUUUUUUUGCUCAUUUGAGCAAAUUUAUUUAUAUUUAUAAAACAUAGGGUCUUUCAUAACCAAUAAGUUUUUGUUUUAAAGACAAUAGUUUCUCAUGUUUUGUUCUUUGCUUUUAUGUUAGAUAAAUAAAAGUUCCAUCACAGCCUGCAUAAUUAUCACUGCAAUUACUAAUCCUUUUUCCGUAUCAAAAUCUCAAUCCUUAUAUAUAGUUUAAUUAUUCUCAUUUUCCUUUACUGGCUUUCAUUUCUUAAAUAUAUGUUUCUAUACUCUUUCUUAUAUAGUCGUUGGUGGUGAUUCUUCUACAUGCACAUAAAUAUCAUAAAGAUGAUAAGUAUAAAAACAUGUACAUAUAUAUUAUUUUCAUUAUGCUUUUCAAGUGUUGUUCAUGGUUGUUAGAUUGGAUUAGAAAUCUAUAUUUCCCUGUCUUUCGAUUUACUUUUUUUAUAAAGCUUGAUUUGUGUAAUCCGUCUUUGCAAUUUGAAAAUAGUCUAAACUAAGUUAUGUAGUUUUCUAUGUAUUUUAGGUGGACAAGCUAAGCCUUUGACUCAACCCAAGGCUGAGAAGAAAGAAGGUGGCGAACUGGAUGGCCACAUGGGAGAGACAAGUUGUAAGAAUAGGAAGUUUGUUCCUGAAAACUAUAUUGAGACAAGAAAUGACUUUCUUUAAUAAGAAGAUGAACACUGGCGAAAUUGUGGGGAGAAUGGCUGGUGACACUAUAUCCAAGAUGCAAUGGGAGAUAAGGUGGGGGUUGGAAAUGGGUCAAAUUAUGUCUCCAAAAAUGUUGAGGAUGAAGGUUUGUGUGGUAGUAGUGGUAGUAGCACUGUAAAAGCAUGUUACAAACCUAUGUAUUAUGCUGUCUGUAAAAGCAUGUUACAUGUUUGUAACAUGUAAAUUCAUAGUUAUCGUUGUCUGUAAAAGCUUGUUACAGGUUCGUAAUAUGUAAAUUUAUAGUUGUCGUUGUUUGUAAAAGCUUGUUACAGGUUUUUAACACGUAAGUUCUCUAUCAUGUUUUUUUUUGUUUGUUCAAGUUGCAAGAUAAUGGUUUUGUUCUAUACAUACCAGGUUAUAUUUGUUUA